rnacentral:tRNA from 1 species
GUGUCGGUAGCUCAGCGGCCAGAGCGCCGGACUGUGGAUCCGGAAGACGCCCGGUUCGAAUCCGGCCUGACACC